UCGCUUUGGCAGCACAUAUACUAAAACUUGGAACGAUACAGAGAUUAGCAUGGCCCCUGUGCAAGGAUGACACGCAAAUUCGUGAAGCGUUCCAUAUUUUU
rnacentral:snRNA from 1 species